AGCUUCUUCCUCUCUCCCUGGCACGAGUUACUUUUCUCUCCGUGGUUGCUACUUCUGCUUCUUCCGCCGUGGCCGUUGCCGCUGCCGCCGCUGCUUGCAUCGCACAAUCUCUCUGUCAUCCCUUGCGUCCUACGAGAUCCCCCCGCCGCCGCUCUCGUCGCAGAGCUCUCUCUGCCGACGCUCUCAUCGCAUCUGCUCCCUCUGGCGCCUCUUCCAUCUAAUCUCAACUCACUCUCUCAGUUCUUCUUGUAACCAUCUCAAAUUUCAGUGUUACAGCUCAAGAUCUUGUUGACACUAUGCUUCUAAAUUUGCUUCUAAAUUUCUGAUAUCUUCACUCUUAACGAUGGAUCUGUAACGCCUCUACUCAAAAGCAUGACAGUGCAUAAUAUGUAUGUUGGAGAGGGUUCAGACUUCCAAUAUAAUAUAUAAAAGGGUGGCUGAGCAGUGGGGUUCUCUUGGUGACUUGACUGUGUCUGUUACAUCGAUUCGAUUCGAUUGAUACAGAAGGAAUACUCAGGAUCUGCUAGAACUGGCGAUGGAUCUGUUAGACGAGAUCAAGUUGGUCUAGCGGGUCAAAAUACUCAGCUUGUUCAUCAGGGUUCACUGAAUUAUAUUAGUUCCCAGGUAAAGCUGGCCCUCCUUGUCUCUCCCAAGUCUUGAAGACAUACUUAAUCAAUUUUUAACCCUUUAAUUCUUAUCUUCUGUGAGCUCUGAAGCAAUGGUAAAAGGAUUGGAGGAGUUAGUAAUCAAUUUUUAACCCUUUAAUCUGAGAAGGCUCAAAGUGAGUUGGAGCAUAGUCCAAUCUUCUCAUUCAGAACCAGAGAGUUGGAGCAUAGUCCAAUCACUAGUCUUCCA